rnacentral:rRNA from 1 species
CAACGUGGGAACCUGACGCGCGGUGGGGGAUAACAGCGGGAAACCGCUGCUAAUACCGCAUAUGGUCAUCUGAAGAGAUUCAGAUGAGUAAAGCCCUUUUUGGGCACCAUGCGAGGGGCCCGCGGCCGAUUAGUUAGUUGGUGAGGUAAUGGCUCACCAAGGCGGCGAUCGGUAGCUGGUCUGAGAGGAUGGUCAGCCACACUGGGACUGAGACACGGCCCAG